rfam:Botryobasidium botryosum FD-172 SS1 unplaced genomic scaffold BOTBOscaffold_52, whole genome shotgun sequence.
GCCCGCCUAGCUCAAUCGGCUAGAGCGUCAGACUUUUACGAAUAUCAUUCGUCAACUCCAUCUGAAGGCUGCGAGUUCGACCCUCGCGGUGGGCU